rnacentral:lncRNA from 1 species
CAAUAUGUUACUUUCCCUUUUCUGUCCAUAAUCCUGUCCAACCACAGGACAGUGCCCAGCAUGUAUAAACCUAUUCAGGAGGCUGCCAGCUUCACAAAUUAUCCUUGGCUCAGACUUCUCUCCUGAGCCUUUCAGCUUCCUGCUCUGUGGACCAGUUACUCUCCAGGCCAAUGGAGAAUCCCCUUUGCCACCAGCCUGGGCAUUCCCUUCACCUCUCUCCUGUGUUGGAGCUGUUCCUUCCUGGCGUUCGUGCGCUCUCUCUCUCCUGGUGUGGUGGAGCAUAUUGUCGAGUAGCUUCUUAAGACACGAUACUUGGAACAUCCUUGACUCUCUGGGGAUAUUAAUUAUUGCUUU